CCUACGGGUGGCAGCAGUAGGGAAUAUUGCUCAAUGGGCGAAACCCUGAACCAGCCACGUCGCGUGGAGGAUGAAUGCUCUAUGAGUUUUAACCCUCUUUUUUAGAGAAGUUUAUGACGCUAUGUAUCGAAUUAUCUCCGGCUAAUUCCGAUCCAGCAGCCGCGGUUAUGUGGAGGGUGCCAGCGUUAUUCGGAAUAACUGGGCGUAAAGCGGGCGUAGGCGGGGUAAUAGGUCAGAUGGGAAAUCCUGUGGCUUAACUACAGAACUGCAGUGGAAACUGUUACUCUGGAGUGUGGGAGAGGUAGGUGGAAUUCGUGGUGUAGCGGUAAAAUGCGUAGAUAUCAAGAGGAAUACUGAUUGCGAAGGCAGCCUGCUGGAACAUAACUGACGCUGAUGCACGAAAGCGUGGGGAGCAAACAGGAGUAGAUACCCGUGUAGUC
rnacentral:rRNA from 1 species